CUGUAAGCCGUUGAAGGUGGCCUGUGAGGGUUGCUGGAGGUAUCAGAAGUGCGAAUGCUGACAUAAGUAACGAUAAUGCGGGUGAAAAACCCGCACGCCGGAAGACCAAGGGUUCCUGUCCAACGUUAAUCGGGGCAGGGUGAGUCGACCCCUAAGGCGAGGCCGAAAGGCGUAGUCGAUGGGAAACAGGUUAAUAUUCCUGUACUCGGUGUUACUGCGAAGGGGGGACGGAGAAGGCUAUGUUGGCCGGGCGACGGUUGUCCCGGUUUAAGCAUGUAGGCG
rnacentral:rRNA from 1 species